AGCCUAAGGAAACAAAUCUUAGGUCAAACCUGCCCAAUGUGAAUUAACAUCAAUGGCCGCGGUACCUUGACCGUGCUAAGGUAGCGAAAUCAAUUGGCUUUUAAUUGGAGUCAGGUAUGAAUGGAACCACGGGGUUGAGCUGUCUCCUAAAUAAUUAUUUGAAGUUACUAUAUGGAUGAAAAAGUCCAGUAAAAAGAAAAAAGACGAGAAGACCCUUAGAAUUUUUCCUAUAGUGAGCUAUUAAUUUCUUCAAAAGUUUAGUUGGGGCAACUUAAGAAAAAUAAGAUAAACUUCUAAAUCUAUACAGGUCGUUUUUGUAAAACAUGUGUAAAUUACCUUAGGGAUAACAGCAUUAUGUAAAAAAUAAGUUUGUGACCUCGAUGUUGGACUGGGAAACUAUAAGGCUAGCCG
rnacentral:rRNA from 1 species